GUCUCGCUGAUCUCCUGGUGACGGGGUAUGGCUCCUUGAGCCAACACUAUCCGCGAGGGAGCUGAAAACCGGUCUACGAGUGGCCGUCCUCCGGGACGACGCGAGGGAACGGGAUAGGCGCCCACCUGGUUAUCCAGGUUCAAGGCCAGAACCCGCACCGGAGAUCGGCGUGACG
rnacentral:other from 1 species